UACGGAGGGUGCAAGCGUUAUCCGGAUUCACUGGGUUUAAAGGGUGCGUAGGCGGGCAGGUAAGUCAGUGGUGAAAUCUCCAGGGCUCAACCCGGAAACUGCUUCGCAUACUGGCGAGCUGGAGUGACGAAGAGGUUGUGGAAUUCUUGGUGUAGCGGUGAAAUGCGUAGAUAUCAAGAGGAACACCUGAGGUGAAGACGGGUUGCUGGGCUGACACUGACGCUGAGUGCGCGAAAGCCAGGGGAGCAAACGGG
rnacentral:rRNA from 1 species